rnacentral:lncRNA from 1 species
AAUGGAGGUCGUGGCGUGAGGGGCGCCGAGCGAGGGGAGGCGCGGGCCACGGGAGUUCCGGGAGUUCCGGCGUUGCCCGGCAGUCCGCAGUCCUCGGCGGGAAGGCUGUCCCGGCGCCUCAGGCAGCUCUGCGUGGGCCGGGGUGACUUCCUCGCGAUCCCCUGCGCGAGGUGAAGGGCAGGGACCUUUGCCGCGCCUUCCACGCGCCGUGCCCCACCGGCGAGUGGCUCCAUCUUCCUCAGACUUAUCGCUCGCGGACAGGCGCCGUGGGUCUCCCGGGCCUCCGUACCGUCCUCCUUCCCAGCGGCUCCGGGAAGCGGUUCCCUGUCUUCGGACGCAUUUCACCCGCGCGGGGAGAGCUUCCCGGGAAGGUUCCACGGCGGCCGAGGGUUUCCGCGCCCGGGACGCGUUUCGGCUGAGGCCGUGGGUCCAGUCCACGGGUUCUGCCCGCACGGUCCAAUGGCCGGGGAGGCGGAGGACUUGCACCUUCGAGAUCCCCUGUGUUUACCCAGCUGGAGGAUGAUGAACAGUCGUGGGUGCCCAGCUGGGUGGAUGUGACUCCAGUCAGCAGAGCAGAAGCCAGGAGAGGUUUUGGUCUUGAUGGUUUGUGUAGAGUGGAGGAUGAGAGAGCCCAUCCUGAGCAUCUAAAGAGCUACAGAGUCAUCCAGCACCAGGACACUCAUAGUGAGGGGAAACCAAGAAGGCACACUGAGCAUGGGGCAGCUUUCCCACCUGGUUCCAGUUGUGGGCAACAGCAAGAAGUCCAUGUGGCAGAGAAGCUGUUCAAAUGCAGUGACUGUGGGAAGGUGUUCUUAAAGGCCUUUGCCCUCCUUGACCAUCUGAUAACGCAUUCUGAAGAGAGACCCUUCAGAUGCCCAACAGGCAGAAGUGCUUUCAAGAAGUCAGCUCAUAUUAACCCCCGAAAAAUUCACACUGGAGAAACAGCCCAUGUGUGUAAUGAAUGUGGGAAGGCCUUCAGUUACCCGUCUAAGCUGAGGAAACACCAGAAGGUUCACACAGGCAUAAAACCUUUUAAGUGUAGUGACUGUGGUAAAACCUUCAACCGCAAAGACGCACUUGUUCUACACCAGAGGAUUCACACUGGAGAAAGGCCUUACGAGUGCAGCAAAUGUGGUAAAACCUUCAGUGUUCUGUCUACCCUCAUUCGGCACCGGAAAGUGCACAUUGGAGAAAGGCCCUAUGAGUGUACAGAAUGUGGGAAGUUCUUUAAAUACAAUAAUAGCUUCAUUCUUCACCAGAGAGUUCACACUGGAGAAAGGCCUUUUGAAUGCAAGCAAUGUGGGAAAGGCUACGUGACCCGUUCAGGCCUCUAUCAGCACUGGAAAGUCCACACUGGGGAACGGCCCUAUGAAUGUAGCCUGUGUGGGAAAACCUUCACUACCAGAUCCUACCGCAAUCGGCACCAGCAGUUCCACACUGAAGAGAGGUCUUAUGAAUGUACAGAGUGUGGGAAGGCCUUCAAACAUAGUUCCACCCUCCUUCAGCACAAGAAAGUCCAUACUCCAGAAAGGCGUCAGGAGGACAGGGCACAUGGGAAGGUCGUUAGCUGCUAGCACCGUGUUCAUCAGGAAAGGUCUUAUUCCAGAAAGGAGGUUAAGGAGAGUGGCCGUGAGAGUGCCAUCCGAAAGAAGCUAAACCUUGCACAUCCCAACACCCACCCCAGGGAGAGUUCCCGUGUGUGCCUGGUGUGUGGGACGCUUUCGGGAGCCACAUUGCACUCUGACUUGCCUGGGGCUGUUGGCAGUGUCACAUCACUGAGUUUAUCCACCGCCAUCCACCUCUAUCCACCCCAUAAGGUCCCUACAGCAAGUGGGACAGCAGACCUUGUGCUCCUUGCUCUAAACAGUAGAGAAUCGUUAAUAGUGGAGCCCAAAACAGGCCUCAUUCCCUACCCUUGACUGGUUUAGCUGUGGACAUGACCCACCUCUGGCCGGAGGAGCUGAGCUGGUAUCUGCUGGGGGCUUCCUGGGAAGGUUUACCAUUUUCAUGGAAAUGGUUGACAUUACACAUGGUAUUUGUCAUGCCCUAGCAUGGACUGUCUCAUACUGCUCUGGACUAUGUGGUAAUAAAGGCUUUAUUGUUUAAGCCGCUU